rnacentral:lncRNA from 10 species
GUCGCCCUCCACCCGCCUGCAGAAAGCCCACUCCCUACAGUCACCUUGACAUUGCUCACCUGCCUGGGCCUCAGCCCAUGACCAAGGAAACUUUUGCCCUCCCUCCCCAGGAGCUCACUUACAGGCCAUCUUCAAAGGUACUGCCUACCUGAACCUGCCUUGUCCCAAAGGACACACUUCAAUCUGGGGAGAGUUUAAAGUUGUAGACAUAUCCAUUUUCAUUUAAGGAAUAUGAAGAUCAGGGAGGCAAAAUAUAGAGAUAUAGAGAGGAAAAACUGAGAGAUGAUCAGAAAUUCAGACGCAUUCGGAAUGAGCACCCUUGACCAUACCAAGAACAAAGACUCUAUAAAAAUGUGAAGUCUUAUUAUUGUUCAUCCAUGUUCUACGUGGGAUCCACCCAAGACAUUGAAAACUGUACAGAACAGGGUGAAAUUGAAUCAGAUCAUUCUGUACUCCUAACAAGGUCCACCCCAUGAGAGACUUGCAGCAGAAUUAAUGACACUGUAUAUUUUCCUCUACUAACAACAACAAGAACAACAACAACAACAAUCUAGGAAAAUCAAAGGCAGCCCGACAUGGAAAAAAACACAAAAUGAAUAUUUGGAUUACAAAUAGUGUGAUGGGAAGAACACACUGCCAAAAGUCCACCUAGUAUGUUGAAAUUACUGUUUCUAGCACAUAUAAGAUGAGGAAAAGGAAGAUCAAAAAGGUCAUAUCAUUUGCUUACAUAAACAGUGAUGAAAUUCAGAUUCAACCUUGGAACUUUGGAUCUCAUGCCCUGUCACAAACGGGACUUAGGAAACCAACUGGCUUUCAUCUAGCACCUAAAGAUUUAAAGAACAAUGUUUUUAUGUGAUGGGACUUGACUGUAAGAAGCCUGAACUGAAUUCCUUUUUCUGGAACUGGUCUUGCUAUCCUUUGGCAAAACAAAAUCUAAAAAAUGACAAAUAUAUCGCUGUCACUGUUCCUUGGAAAUAUGUUUCCAAAGUCUUUGAAAAUUUAAACUGCAAGCUGAGAUAUAGCUUGAGGUGUUUUUCUUAAAUUGUUCCUAAACUGCCUCUUCUUCUCAGCACUAUAUCAAAUUACUGAGCUGUCUGCUGA